GACGAACGCUGGCGGCGUGCUUAACACAUGCAAGUCGAACGGUGAAGCGCCUUCCUUUUUGGUGGGUGUGGAUGAGUGGCGAACGGGUGAGUAACACGAGAGUAACCUUCCCCCUUCUUCUGGACAACCGCAUGAAGGUGCUGCUAAUACGGGAUAUUCUGGGUCGGUCGCUUCAUGGGUCUGGGACAGAUUUUGUUUCGGUGGGGGAUGGGCUCGCGGCCUAUCAGCUUGUUGGUGGGGUGAUGGCCUACCAAGGCGGGGACGGGUAGCCGGCCUGAGAGGGUGGACGCACUGACUGGGACUGAGGCACGGCCCAGACUCCGAAGGGAGGAAGCGGGGAGGAAUAGUGCACAAUGGGAGCAAGACUGAGGCAGCGAGGGCGCGUGAUGGAUGGAGGCCUUCGGGUAGUGAAUCUUUUUAGCGAGUGAAGCAGGCCUGCCUCGUUUGUGGGUGGGUGGACGGUAGCGGGAUAAGAAGCGCCGGCUAACUACGU
rnacentral:rRNA from 1 species